rnacentral:rRNA from 1 species
GACGAACGCUGGCGGCGUGCUUAACACAUGCAAGUCGAGCGGUAAGGCCCUUUCGGGGUACGACGAGCGGCGAACGGGUGAGUAACACGUGGGUGACCUGCCCUCCAGCUCUGGGAUAAGCCUGGGAAACCGGGUACUAAUACUGGAUAUGACUCCAUGACGCAUGUUGUGGGGUGGAAAGCCUUGUGCGGCUGAGGAUGGGCCCGCGGCCUAUCAGCUUGUUGGUGGGGUGAGGCCUACCAAGGCGACGACGGGUAGCCGGCCUGAGAGGGCGACCGGCCACACUGGGA